GCCUCCAUAGUUUAACGGAUAAAACGUCGGCCUCCGGAGCCGAAGAUGGAAGUUCAAUUCUUCCUGGAGGCA
rnacentral:tRNA from 1 species